rnacentral:lncRNA from 1 species
AUUUUUUAUACUAACCUGUGAAAACAGACAUUAUAGUUAUCAUCAUUAUAAUUAUCUACAGAUAAUUAUGAAUUCAGAGUUCAGUUUUAACAGCUGAAGCUGAGUAACUUUAUUAAGCAACAUAGCUUAAUAUAGCUCAACAUAGAUUCAAAAGCAGGUGAUCUAAGUCAAAUUCCCAUGUUCUGUCCUUUCUACUAGGUUAUUGAUUAGGUCAUCAUGUUAUUGGGGUUAUCAACAUAUUGACAUCACAUAAAUCACCAGACUUUUUCAGACAGAGGUUCACAUUUCAUUCAUGUGAGCUAUGGGGUGUCCUUGAGCCUGAGCUCAGAGCAGUAAUGUGUAUCCCUUUUGUCAUCACACCAUUAGCCAUGAAUCUAUGAUCUACUAGUAAUGCUGUUCAAAAGAUGGAAAAGAAUAUUCAUAUUUAGAUUUUUUAAGCCCUCUAAAAUUUUCAAUUCUUCUAUUCUCUUCCUAUUUGCUAAAUAAAAAUUCUCAAAUUACCAACUUAUAAAAAUAAGAAACUUAUCUAUAGAACAUGAAGAUUUUUACAUUGAACUGACUCUGGGUUUACUGUCAGCCUUUACGACAGACCUAGGAAAAGACAUAGGGUCUAUGUUAGUUCAUUUCAUGGUAGCUGCCUGGUAAAUGUUUGUUGAGUUAAUCAAUUAUUCGGAUCACCAAAUAUUUACUGAACUAAACUCUGCAAAAGCACCAAGAAGAAAAGUUCUCUGUCUUCAAGGAGCAAUGACCUUGUUGAGAAGACAAGACACAAACACCUGCUCAUGUUGAAAGUUCACAGUGUAAGAGCUCCAGGAUAACAGAAGAACUGACAUGGGACUUACUGCCAACUAAAUUACAGUGUUCUCUCUACAGCUUUAAAUACAAUCAAAGACAAGAAGACAGGAAAACAGUGUUGGGAGACAGAAGAGCGUCUGGCAGUUUGCCUGAGUCUGUUGCCUUCCUCUUACUCUGUGAGCCAGUCACUACAGCAGAAAUGGUCAUUUUCUACUGAUCAUAGACCCAUAAUAAAUCAUAACCGGAGCCAAUCUCGUGACAAGAUAACAGCUUUUAGAGAGAACCAAUUGGUAGCAGCUGUGGAGUUGGUUGGUUUGUUCUUUUUUUUGUCUCCCAACAAACGAUUUCCCAAAACUGAAGCUCUUUUAUUCCUUGGAAAGCUAUUUAAGACUAUUGUAAAACAAAAUAAACAAAACAAAACAGAAGCAGAUUCAUAGGUACAGAGAACAAUCUGGUAGAGAUUCUGCCAGAAGGAAAAGGGGUUGGGGGGAGGGCGAUGGGUGAAGAAGGUAAAGGGGAUGAAACAGUACAAACUUCCAGUUAUAAAAUAAAAUAUAUGUAUAAAGUAUAUAUAAAAU